UACGGAGGGUGCAAGCGUUACCCGGAAUCACUGGGCGUAAAGGGCAUGUAGGCGGUUAUUUAAGUCUGGAUUUAUAGACCGAGGCUCAACCUCGGGAAUGGACUGGAUACUGGAUGACUGGACGACUGGAGGGGAGAGUGGAAUUCUCGGUGUAGCGGUGGAAUGCUUAGAUACCGAGAGGAACACCAGUGGCGAAGGCGGCUCUCGGGACAGUGCGUGACGCUGAGGUGCGAA
rnacentral:rRNA from 1 species